AGAGUUUGAUCAUGGCUCAGAACGAACGCUGGCGGCGUGCUUAACACAUGCAAGUCGAGUGCGCGUACCGUAGCAAUACGGUAUGGCGCACGGCGCACGGGUGCGUAACACGUGGGCAAUCUGCCCUUCGAUGGGGAAUAUCUUCGGGAAACCGAAGCGAAUUCCGCAUAACAUUCCUUGGAUUUCGGUUCGAGGACUCAAAGCCGUAAGGCGUCGAAGGAGGAGCCCGCGCCCGAUUAGCUAGUUGGUGAGGUAAUGGCUCACCAAGGCAAUGAUCGGUAGCUGGUCUGAGAGGAUGGCCAGCCACACUGGAACUGAGACACGGUCCAGACUCCUACGGGAGGCAGCAGUGGGGAAUAUUGCACAAUGGGCGAAAGCCUGAUGCAGCGACGCCGCGUGGGGGAUGAAGCAUUUCGGUGUGUAAACCCCUUUCGACCCGGACGAAUGCCUCGCAAGAGGAGUGACGGUACGGGUAUAAGAAGCCCCGGCUAACUACGUGCCAGCAGCCGCGGUAAGACGUAGGGGGCCAGCGUUGUUCGGAAUUACUGGGUGUAAAGGGUUCGUAGGCGGUGCGGCAAGUUGGGAGUGAAAUCUCUGGGCUCAACCCAGAGGCUGCUUCCAAAACUGCUGUGCUUGAGUGUGGGAGAGGCGCGUGGAAUUGCAGGUGUAGCGGUGAAAUGCGUAGAUAUCUGCAGGAACACCCGUGGCGAAAGCGGCGCGCUGGACCACAACUGACGCUGAGGAACGAAAGCUAGGGGAGCAAACAGGAUUAGAUACCCUAGUAGUCC
rnacentral:rRNA from 1 species